AGCCCCGUAGUGUAGCGGUCAAUUAUCAUCAGUUUCCUGAUGGUAUGGCCAUUCAUCCAGGAUUUUGGGUCCUGGGACCUCGGUUCGAAAUGCAGACAAGAUGAUAUGCUUGGCUUGAGAAACUGCACGCAAUUCCGAGCGGGGCUA
rnacentral:tRNA from 1 species